CUUUAUUUUUGAUGAAAAAAUGCAAAAUGUGCCAUUCAAUCCCCCAUCCCCCCUUAAAAAAAAUCGUAAAAAUCGCGCGUUUGUCGCCAAAUACAUGAAUUUAAUAUUCAAUGAUUGGAGGUCCCGUGGGUUGGAACAACCCUUUUUUUGUAUGAUCAAUGCAUUUAAAUGAGGACAUAAAGUUGGACCCCCCCCCUGUUUUGUCCUGGAUUUGGACCUGGAUCCGCC
rnacentral:lncRNA from 1 species